GCUCAAGUAAUCCUCCCACCUCAGCCUCCCAAAGUAUCUGAAUUACAGGUGAGCCACUGUGCCUGGUCAGCAGGUGGUGUUUUGAGUCCUUCCUAUAAUAACUCUUUGUUGAGCACCAACUACAUGCUAUUGUCCUGGGCCCGGCCCCAAGAUGGUCAUUACUGUGCACAUUGUAAUGCAGCAAGUAUGGAAUUUGCAACCAACACCCAGAUCUUCCGAUAAGUUCCUCCUCUUACCAGCAUGCAAUCCUAGGCAAGUCAUUUUCCUUCUCUGCAUCUCCAUCUCCUUACCUGAAACAAGCAGAGAAGAUUUACAACACUCAUUGAGAUUAUACACCUCAUGCAGUCCUGGCACAAGAUAGGAAUUAAUGUAUUCAUUAUUUCCUUCUUCCUUUCCACAUGUCUGCAUCAGUUAUGUGUGCUAAGUACUCCACACAGCUCAGAGAUGGGAACUUUUGAAACUCUUCUGAUCUAGUGCAAAUGUUCUGGGGAUGGCGAGGAUCUGGAGAAGUCCGGACACAGAGUAAAUCAGGUUGGAGAGAGAUUUUUUUAAAGACAUUGCAAUUGCUUAGGUGAGGAAGACAGAAGACUUCAGAGGAAUCGAAGAUGACUCCUAGGUUUCUGGCUCGAACAACUAGGAAGAGGUUGGUGUCAAAUGCUAGGGAAGAAUUCUCUUUACCUCCUGUCUUAGUCAGUUUGGGCUGCUGUAAAAAAUGCUGUCAAAAUUUAUUUUCUCACAGUUCUGGAGCUUGAAAGUCCAUCAAGGUGUCAACAUUAUUGGUUUCUGGGUGAGGGCUCUCCUGGCUUGCAGACAGCCACCUGCUCCCUGUGUGCUCACAUAGCCUUUCCUUGGCGCUUACACCUGGGAGAGAGUGAGGAAACUCUCUGGUGUCUCUUAUUAAAAGAGCUUUAAUUCCAUUGGACCAGGACCCCACCGUCAUGACCUCGUCUCAUCCUAAUCACCUUCAAAGGCUGUGUCUCCAAAUACCAUCAACUGGGGAUUAGAGCUUCCACAAAUGAAUUUUGAGAGAACACAAACAUUUGAUUCAUAACACCUCCGUAUUAAUAAGAGAGAAAUAAUGAUGACGCGUAUCCUAGUCAUCUUCCUAUUCCAAUGGCUUUGAGCCUCUUUGAUUAUUUCAGGAGGUGGCUUGCAAGCACAUCUGUCUACAUUCGUUUUUCUUCCAUAAGAAAGAUAAAGGGGAAGAGGAGCCUCGGUAGGUGAGUUAGGGCUAAGCUAUGAGUUCAUAGUGAAGACUUUUGUGACACAAGCAUAAAAAACUAGGUUCCUAAGGACCCAGUCAAUGUGAGGCUUUGAACUAGAAACUGGGAUGUCCGCUGAGUCAGAGGCACCCUUACCCUCAAGGAUCUCACGACUUUGUAAAUACAUGGAGGAUUUUCUCAGGAAGUUAGCUGUUUGGACUCUCGUCUCAGGUCAUGAACAUCUUGCCUCUGAAUAUGAAGGUCCUUAAGUGUGACUCCAUCACUUUCCUGUCCAGGACUUCCUCAGGCAGGGGAUGGUCUGCUUACCUGACCCCUAAGUGGCUUGUUAGGAUGAAUCAUGUUCCAGUUCUCUAAGAGGGUUUAUGUGUUGGAAAGAAUAUUCUCUUUGAUCUCAUGGCUUAGAGUGCAUAGGCUUUGUCCAGUUAAUCAUGUAGCUGGCGUCAGGCUUUGCCAGUUUUUAUUUCUUUGAGGCUUUAUGGCAUUUAAAGGGUUGGAGACUGGCCCUGUAGCGAACAUGGUUUUGACUUCAACAGCAACUGAACCUUUUCUCCAGCUCUUUGAUAAUAAUUGAUUAGUCUAGAAGUCCAAGCAAAGGUGGGACUUUCUAAAGUGCCUCAGAUCUAAGGGGUGAUUGAAGGGGUGAGUCUUUAAUAAGGACGCACUCUCUCCUCUCCUCUCCUGAGUCAUUCCCACAUGGUUAAAAGAGCUCUCCCAAUAAAUUUGAUUUUGCCUUAGUGCUUUCCAUUUACAAAGUACAUUCAUUCCACUAUCAAUUUAACCUCUCAAAUCAGCCUUGAGAGGUAGAAAGAGCAAGGCAAAUGGGCUUAAUUUUGCAACAGAGAAAUUCUAACACUCAUUAAAUGAUUUGCUCAAUGUCUCAUGGGGUACGAGUUGUGAGAGGAGCUAACAUUUAUUGAGGGUCUGCUAUGUGACAGUUUCCUUGUAAACCCUAACUUAUAUAGUCUACAACUAACCCUGGGUGGGGGGUAGAUAUUAUUGUGCCCAGUUGAAAGAUGAAGACACUGAGUCAUGAGACAUUUAAAGAGCUAUUUCAAAGCCUCCCAGCCCUUAGAUAUUAAGCCAACAUUGACUUUCUAGUCUUCUGAGAGUCAGUCUGUUAUGCUGUUUAAACUCCUCAUGCCUGACUGUAAGAAGAUAAUAGUACACUAUUUAUGCUUAGUCAAAUCUGGGGUAAGAAGUGCCGUAAAAGGAAAAGAGGCCCAUUUUCCCUCUUUACAGAGAGAUUUGGAAAUUUGCUUUCCUUUACAUAUGAAAUGAAAGAAGACGCAGAGACAUGGACCAGCUGCUGCGUGUGCUUCUCUCUGAAGUCUGAGCCGAGAUUCCCUAAGCUUGACUGCAUCGCUUAAGACCACAGGCCAGGGCAGCAGCCCUUCUGCGAAAAAAGCCACCUUUUAACCGGCUUGUUCGUUUUCUUCUUCUUGCACACUCUGUGGUCUGGCAAGGAGCAGGGGGGCCUCAAUAGCAAAGCCCUCACAACAGCAAUCCUUCUCAGUUCCCACUCUGAGUGAACCCGGUUCAACUUCUCGGGCUAACAGAGAUUUUAAUCGAAAUGAACUGACAGAGAAUUUGCUAAGUCCAAGAACACACAGUCUCGAGGUGACUGGACAGGAACAGAAGCCUCUAAAAGCUGAAAGAAUGAGGCAAAGGCUUUCCCCUCGGCAGACUCUGGCCUCCCUUCUUGACACUUCCUCUUGGGCUCUGUGAGUGUUUGCCCAGGGUUAUUGGCGAUGUCAUUGGGUGUCAGCUGAUCGACAGCGAAAGGGAGAGGAGCUAGAGCUACUGCAGGCCAGGAGCACACACGCUGGAUCUCAUCUCAUCUCCAUCUAACUCCUAUGUGAAGUGGGCUGUUGGAACCCCUUUCCCACAUUUGAGGAAACUGAGGCUCUAAAACGUGCAGUACGUCGUCUAAGCUCCCUGGUCCUCCAGAUGACAACUGUGAGAGAUUGCUUGGAUGCUUGGGGACUUUGUGAAGUCAACAUUAUACAGCAGCCAGAGCAAAUGCCUCAGCUUCAAAGACACCUUCAAGAACCUGUCUUUUCCAUGCUCUGAGCAUGCCCAUGUAAAAUCCUCACCUUGGAGAAACUGAGGCCCUGGGAGGAUAAACAACUUGUGUGCAGGAAGGGGGUUAUCUGUGACCUGAACCUGUAUCUUCUGACACCAAAUCAGUGGCUCUGUCUGUCACACCAUUCAGCCAACAUUGACUGAGUUUUUCUCCAAUACCCAGCAUGGUGCCCAAUGAGGACUAAAAGAAGCAUAAUAUCAAUGGUCAGCUCUUGAAGAGCUUGGAUUCAAGAUAAAAUUUAAAAAGUUGAUAAUGUCAAGGGACAAAUGCUGAAAUGAAGGCCUAAGCAAAUGCCCUGGAAUCAUGGCAGAGAAUCCCUUGGGUCCUUAAACUCUGUGCCCAGGACAUCCCUGGCAGCCUGGAAAAAGUAUGGAUCUCUUCUGAAAGACAACCCACAUGCAGAUGCAGAACCUGGGGACCAGACAAGGCAGUAACCCUGGAAACCUAUUAACUAUAGGUGGAAAUAUAAAUAGCUUAGCUCAGCAUCCAGAGUUCUUCGUGGUCUUCACCCAACCUGCUGUUACAAACUUAACUCCUCCUCCUCUUCAGCUCACCAACUCUAGCUCAGCACAGCCCAGCCAACAUUUAUCAGGCCCUGCACUGCACCAAGAAACUGGAAAGGCAUUGGAGUUACUAGGAUGGACAAGAUUCAGACCAUUCCUUUGACAGGGACCAUAUUUGGUGUUUCUCAAGAAGGAGCAAUGUUACCCAAACAGGAAAGAGAGAAGACAGAUACAGCUUUCUGUCUCCUUCUCUUAGCUUGACGUUGUGUCUGGCCACACAGGCCAUGUGGGCUAUUUUUACUGACAGCAGUCACCAGCCCAUAUGGUUGCCAUUACCACAAAAUGUUACCUUCAUUGACACCAGUUUGCAAGUGAGUGGACGGCGGACAAGGAGGAUGUCGAGUCCACAUGGCCAGUCACAGGGCUCACAGGGUUUGCCUUGGCAGUGAGAAAACAGAAGCUGUGAGAGGCUGACUUUCCCAAGUCUGCGUGACUAGUAAGAAUCCAAGAUGGGAUUCAACCUCAGCUUCCUGGACUUCAGGCCAGAGCUCAAGCCUCAACAUUACGGCUGCCUCAGUGACUUGAAAGAAAACCGGGCAGGGCUUCUUCAAGGACAUAAGCUAGCAGCUCACAAUGGGGCCUGAUGGGACAUGUUGCAUCGAAACUAGAAGUUGGCAUUGAGAUCCAGCCUCACUGUGGCACUACAAAGCUGCCGCCACGUCAGCUGGAUGACACUGAAAUGGACGAGAACAAAAGGCUUUUUCCUGCAGUGUGUAAUGUCCCCUUACCAAGGCCCAGGAGCUAUUGUGAUGCACUGAGCGUAAAGCUUCCAGAGCAGUGAGUAGGUGAAAAGGAGAACUCUGGGCUGAGAAUGAGAUUUCAGGCAAAGGGAAGACAUCCUCCUUCCAUUGAGGUCAUAUCAAGAGCUUGGGUGAGGACCACAUAAGAAGAGACUACAAUCCCACUGGUCUGCAUAA
rnacentral:lncRNA from 1 species